rnacentral:lncRNA from 1 species
CUGGUUAUUUUACCCAGGCUUUGACUAGAAAGACAUAUUUUAAAAUGUGACCAGUCUGCUUUGAAGCACUGGGACUGACUUUAUAACACCAACAGACUUGGAAAAAGACUGGCCCAGAAAUGCCUGUUAUUAACGAUCCAUUUAAGUGCAUCGUAUGUACAGUCCUGGUUUGAGAGUCCAUCUGCAAUGCAACGUCCUAGAAUAAGAAAUAACUGUUUAAUUGAACUGAUCUAUCCUCAGGACUAACAGACUGAUUCAAGAGGAUAUGAGCUAGGUUUUCCAAUCUACCUAUUUUUUCUUCUUCUUUGUCAAUCUAUCUCACAAUCUCCAACCCAAAUUUCCCCAUAGCUACCAAUCUUUGAUUAAUAUGUGAAUCUUUGUGAAGAUAAAGUUUCAAGUGGGAGACUAAAGGAAACCAAAAAGAUUUCACCCUCAAAUAUAUUUCUUUGACCUAUUUUGAGACGGCUAUUCAGAGGGCCUGCAGACAACAAUAGCCCUAAAAAGCUGCCUUUCAUUAAGAUUUGCAUCUGUUGAGAAAAAUCUAUAUUGGUGAAGUAAACAACCAGGCUUUCUCAGAGGCCCUACUUAUCUGCAGAUCUCAGAAAUUAACUCAUCCACAAGUUAUGCUAUCCAUUCUGUCUCAGAGAUAUUAUCAGUGAAGUUUCAUCUGCCUAAUGAGACCACCUUUGUCCCAUGCCUUCCAUUCUCUCCUAGAGCCAGUCUUGCCAUGCUCCAAGCUCCUACUCCUUCCAUAACCUCAACAUGGUAUAAAAGCACCAACCAACUGGCCCUUUGAGUUUUCAUAUUCUGUAUGACUUCUCUGCACAUGUGUGCAUGUUAAUAAAAUGUGUAUGCCUUU